rnacentral:rRNA from 1 species
UACGUAGGGAGCAAGCGUUGUCCGGAAUCAUUGGGCGUAAAGCGCGCGUAGGUGGCCUCAUAAGUCCGCUGUGAAAGUCAAAGGCUCAACCUUUGAAAGCCGGUGGAUACUGUGAGGCUAGAGUACGGAAGAGGCGAGUGGAAUUCCUGGUGUAGCGGUGAAAUGCGCAGAUAUCAGGAGGAACACCGAUGGCGAAGGCAGGUCUCUGGGCAUUAACUGACGCUGAGGAGCGAAAGCAUGGGGAGCGAACAGG